rnacentral:rRNA from 1 species
GGGGUUAAGCCCUCGUCGUACUGCUGAGUAACACGUAGUCAACUUACCCUUAGGUAGGGGAUAAACUUGCGAAAGUGAGCCUAAUACCCUAUAUGUUAUGGAUACUGGAAUGUUCCAUAACUAAAAGCUCCGGCGCCUAAGGAUAGGACUGCGGCCUAUCAGGUUGUUGUCAGGAUAAAAACCUGACAAGCCUAUAACGGGUAAGGGCCAUGAGAGUGGAUGCCCUCAGACGUUCUCUGAGACAUAAGAACGGGGCCUACGGGUCGCAGCAGGAGCGAAAACUUUCCAAUGCGCUAACGCGUGAGAAGGGAACCUGGAGUGAUUGCGCUCAGCGUAAUCUUUUGUUUAGGCUAAAGAUCUAAACGAAUAAGGGGUGGGCCAGACAGGUGCCAGCCGCCACGGUAAUACCUGCGCCCCAAGUGGUGAUCACUUUUAUUGGGCUUAAAGCGUCCGUAGCCGGAUUAAUAAGUCUCUAGUGAAAUCCUGCAGCUAACUGCAGGGCGUGCUUGAGAUACUGUUAGUCUUGGGACCGGGAGAAGUCAGAGGUAUUCCGUGUGUAGGGGUUAAAUCCUUUAAUCCACGGAGGACCACCUGUGGCGAAGGCGUCUGACUAGAACG